CCCUGGAUAGCUCAGUUGGUAGAGGAUGAGAUUCUUAAGCUCAGAGUGGUGGGUUUGAGCCCCAUGUUGGCAGA